UACGUAGGGACCAAGCGUUGUCCGGAAUCAUUGGCGUAAAGCGCGCGUAGGUGGCCAUUUAAGUCCGCUGUGAAAGUCAGAGGCUCAACCUUUGAAAGCCGGUGGAUACUGGAUGGCUAGAGUACGGAAGAGGCGAGUGGAAUUCCUGGUGUAGCGGUGGAAUGCGCAGAUAUCAGGAGGAACACCAAUAGCGAAGGCAGCUCGCUGGGACGUUACUGACACUAAGGCGCGAAAGCGUGGGGAGCGAACAGG
rnacentral:rRNA from 1 species